GUACCAGAUGACUUAGACAUCUCGAACGUUUCUGUUCUAUAUGAUGUUGACGAGCCUACUGUUCGAAGUCUCAAUGGCUGCAGGGUUGCUGAUCAAAUUCUUAAGCUUGUUCCCAAUGUUGAGCAUUUUCGCACAACACUCCGGUGUUUGAAGUUGUGGGCUAAAAGACGUGGUGUUUAUUCCAACGUGACUGGGUUUCUCGGUGGUGUGAACUGGGCCAUUCUUGUUGCUCGAGUGUGCCAACUUUAUCCUAAAGCAAUUCCUAGUAUGCUUGUUUCUAGAUUUUUUAGGGUCUAUACACAGUGGCGCUGGCCAAACCCUGUUAUGCUGUGCCCAAUUGAAGAGGAUGAACUUGGAUUUUCCGUUUGGGAUCCCCGUAAAAAUCCUCGUGACCGAACUCAUCAUAUGCCAAUAAUAACCCCCGCCUAUCCAUGCAUGAAUUCGAGCUACAUCAACAAGUACACUACGUGUCAUGAUGGAGCAGUUCCAGCAUGGUAACAAGAUCUGCGAGGAGAUAGAGCUGAAUAAAUCCCAAUGGAGUACUCUGUUUGAGCCACAC
rnacentral:misc_RNA from 1 species